rnacentral:tRNA from 1 species
UGCGGGUUAGAGUUCUGGUUGAGCUCACGAGUCUCAUAAGCUCGACUGAGGAUGGUUCGAUUCCAUCACCCGCUA